CCCUUAGAUGUUCUGGGCCGCACGCGCGCUCCACUGAUGCAUUCAACGAGCCUAUCCUUGACCGACAGGUCCGGGUAAUCUUUGAAUCUGCAUCGUGACGGGGAUAGAUUAUUGCAAUUAUUAAUCUUCAACGAGGAAUGCCUAGUAGGCGCAAGUCAUCAGCUUGCGUCGAUUACGUCCCUGCCCUUUGUACACACCGCCCGUCGCUCCUACCGAUUGGGUGUGCUGGUGAAAUGUUCGGAUCGGCCGUUUGUCGCGGUUUCCGCGGCUCGUGGCUGAGAAGUUCAUUAAACCCUCCCACCUAGAGGAAGGAGAAGUCGUAACA
rnacentral:rRNA from 1 species